GACGAACGCUGGCGGCGUGCUUAACACAUGCAAGUCGAACGGAAAGGCCCUGCUUUUGUGGGGUGCUCGAGUGGCGAACGGGUGAGUAACACGUGAGUAACCUGCCCUUGACUUUGGGAUAACUUCAGGAAACUGGGGCUAAUACCGGAUAGGAGCUCCUGCUGCAUGGUGGGGGUUGGAAAGUUUCGGCGGUUGGGGAUGGACUCGCGGCUUAUCAGCUUGUUGGUGGGGUAGUGGCUUACCAGGGGUUUGACGGGUAGCCGGCCUGAGAGGGUGACCGGCCACAUUGGGACUGAGAUACGGCCCAGACUCCUACGGGAGGCAGCAGUGGGGAAUAUUGCACAAUGGGCGGAAGCCUGAUGCAGCAACGCCGCGUGCGGGAUGACGGCCUUCGGGUUGUAAACCGCUUUCGCCUGUGACGAAGCGUGAGUGACGGUAAUGGGUAAAGAAGCACCGGCUAACUACGUG
rnacentral:rRNA from 1 species